AAGCAGAGAGGCCUCAGGAGAAAUCAACUCUGCCACCCCCUUGAUCUUGGACUUGCAGCCUGCAGAACUGAAGGACACUUUGUUUUGGCAAUUUCAGGCAUGGGGUUUUGCUGUGUUGAUCCAGGAAACGGAUGAAUUAGAGCAAUGUGUAAGUCUCAGAGGCUAUGUUAAUCCAUGUGAGGAAGACACAUGCAAGAAAAGAAAAACGUUGAGUUGAAAAGAUGGAGAAAAGAGGUAGCGAGGUGAAGCAGAAUCGGCAGUCUCUCAGUGUCAUAACCGGACAUGGGGUUGACCAUUGUAACACCAACCAUAAUCACCUACAGGGCGCUUUCAGGGCCCUCUGUGCGAUGAACUGGACCUGGCAGCACUGGCUGUUGCACAUGAUUGGGUACACAGACUGAUGCCAUGAAAACAACUGCCAACAAAUCAGUAAGUAUAGUCCAAGGGAUUUAUAAGUUGAAGAUGUACGGUAGUAAAUUACUGUAAGAUAUAUUCUCAGCCAAAGCUAACCUGGGGGGUGUGUUAUAUAAGUGUGUUGUAUACGCAUGGGCAUAUGGUCACAUACACACGUAUCAAGGAAUGGAUCGGUCAUCCUGAAUAUAUUCAAUCUCUUGUGAAAUACUGGGCACUGGAAGUUGGAAGCUGCAGCAAACACAGCAUAUGCUAUAAGCAUUUCACCUAUUAAAGUAUCUGACACUUGGCAGGUGCAUUCAAGAAUGACAGCUCUUGGCAAGUUCAUCUUAGCCUUGCACACGAAUAAUAAAGAGAAAGGAAUAUUUUCAGUCUGGCAGAAAUAAGCAACAGGUGCUAAAGGCCUUGUGCUGUAGUUUAACAGGAGGGAGUAUAUUGAACAGUGUGAAAUAAGCAGACAUAAUUAUAGCAUACUUGUAAUGAAAAUGAUGGCUCCUAAUUAAUUCUGGUCUAGACUUGUUCAAAGACCCUGGGGCCAGCACACCUUAGGGGAAGGAUUAUACCCUUUAAUAAUAACAGAAUGCAUAAAAUAUUUAAUAGUGUACCCUUCAUAGAGUAAAAAAGUCCCUUAGGGAUUCUAAAAUCUAAGGGCUAUUUUUUCUGACGUGGAGCUUUAGUGGUAAUCCCAUAUGUUCAGGGCUGUGGAACCUCCAGUAUGUCCUUAUCUAGAAUCUAUUUGUCUGCUCUUUAGCGUAAGGAGCUUAAUCCAGUAUUUUAUUCUCAUCUGUCAUUCAUUCUGGUUCUUGAAACAGAUUAUUUAUUGCAUCAAGGCUGCUAUUCACCACACAUGUAAGAUCUCUAAUGUCACAAGCAGUUAUUCUUGAGUGACUCCUGUUCUAGAUGCUGUCAAUGAAGAUGGUAUAGCCCAACGUUCAUACACCAUUGUAUCCCUACUGUAUCUUUUGUGUCUAGUGCUUUGUUUGCAAGAUUACUAAGAAUGCAAUAGGGCAAUCUUGACAAUUGUAGUAAAACUGACAAAAAUAUUUAGGCUCUGGAGUAAGAUUUGCCCAAUUCAGAACUGUUUCUAAAUCCUGCAUAUGUGGUUUUGACUUGAUUAGUUCAAUUCCCCAAGGCCGUUUCUUUUUCCAUAAAGUGAAGAUAAUAAAAGUCUUUACUUCACAGGCUCUUUUGAGCACUGAGUUAAGUAAUUCAUAUAUUUACCUUAGUAGGAUAUCACAUUGUGUUUAUUUGAAUAUGUUACUUUCAUUUAUGUUUUCUAGAGUAAAUUCCAUUGAAAAUAACAGAGUGGGAACAGGGGUUGCUCUGAAAGAGCAUAUGAUAUUCACACUUCUCUAGAUGCAAUUUCUAGGAUAAACCUUCUUCCUUUAUCGUGAUCUGGGGCUUUGCUACGUAAAGUGUGGUCCGUAGACCAGCAGCAUUGGCAUGGCCUGGGAGCUCAUGAAAAAUGAAGAAUCCUGGGCCCCACCCCAAACUAACUGUUUCAUAAUCUGUAUUUUAAUGAGAUCCCAAGCGAUUUGUGUGCACUUUAAAAUUUGAAAAGCUCUGGUCUAUACAGCUAAGGUCCUUACGUGUCCUUUUAGAUUUUCCUGAUCUUACGCCUAAUUUAAUCAUGUUUAUUAUUAUACGUGUAUAUUUUUGUUAACCCAAAUGUUUACUUUUAAAAUUUCUGAAUUGCUAGACAAGUCUUUCAGAAUAAGUGACACUUUAUUGAUGCACGGUAUUUUAAUUUUUCUGGUACACACUCAGACCCCCAAAGCCAUACUGAUGCUACGUCCCCUCCCUUCUCUCACCCCGAAACACCUUAAAGACUCUCAUCAUUUGAUUACUAGAUUUUGAUUUGCCUGUUUCUAGAGAAACUACUAAGACAUAUUGGGCAUUCCCUCUUCUGAUUUUGAAAUUGAAAUAACAUCUAUGUGGGGCUUAGUGAGAGAAAUUUAAGAAAGGCACGGAUCAUUGGAUCAUUGCUUAAUUCCAUAAAUUACUUUUCUUGUCUGUAUUAAAUUGUUGAUAGAUUUAAUUCUGCCUUGAAGAAAAUGUUUAGUUUAAAAAAAAAUGUUUCGAGACAAAUUUUGAUCAUGCUUAAUAGAAGACAAAUGCAUUCAGAUAAAUUAAAAUUAAUUCAA